AUGCUGACCAAAACCCUACACAUAUCUUUCUUUGUCUUGCAUAAUAAAACAAUAACCCUAACCCUUCUCUCUCAGAAUCAAACAUUUGAUUCUGUGGACCAUCUCAGAAAAUACAACCCUAACACAAACCAACCAUGCAUCUUAAUCUUCUACAUAAAUAUAUACACAUGUAACUUGAAGUCUAGAUGGCCCCGGAAAAUGGUACAGACGACCCAAAAUCUUAGCAGGCAGCCACAAAAUUUGAAACUUCAAAGACAUGCAUACGGGGCUGAAAGGCACACUUCAAUAAAAACAACAUGA
rnacentral:lncRNA from 1 species